GGAGUUUUAAAAACACCAUAUCGCCCUGUUUGAAUUCAAUGUCGCGGCGGCCCACGUCAGCUAUUUGCUUCAUUCUGUUAGCUGCGGUGGUUAAGUUUUUCUUCAGUUGCAGCAGUAGCUCAUCUCGGGAUAUCAAGGUUUGAUCAACUUCGUGCACCGGCGAGGCACCCAGCUCGUACCUUGGCACUGUUGGAGGAGGUCUCCCAUAUAGAGCUUGAAAUGGGAUCAUCCCGGUGGAGAUAUGGAAGGUGGUGUUAUACCAAAACUCAGCCCACGGUAAAUAGGAGUGCCACUUCCGUGGCCACUGAUGAUCAAAACAUCUCAAGUAUUGUUCAAGGCAUCGGUUAAUUACCUCGGUUUGGCCGUCGGUUUGAGGAUGAUAUGCCGAGCUCAUUUUUAAUUUGGUGCCUGAUAAAUUAAAGAACUCUUGCCAAAAUUUGCUGAUGAAUAUGGGGUCACAGUAGCAUUUUGAUAAAACUCCCCAUUCAAUUCCUUCAUUUACUUUUUCAUAUAAUUUAAAUUAUCAAUUAAAUUAUAAUACAUUUUUUUUCUUUUUCUUUUAAUAAAAUAUUAAAUCAAAAUUUUGGUCAAACAUGAUCAAAUUUAUAUUUCUUUCACUUGAUAGAAAAAAAUUUAUAUCACUAUUCUAUCAUAAUUCGUUCAUACUAUAAUGAUAUAAGUCAAUUUUCCUAAAAUACGUCACAAACUGUCGGUUAUCUAUUAAUAGUUUUCUUGUAGCGCAAGUGUUCAGAAAAAAAAAAUGAAAGGCCAAAACUAAUAAUGUCUUUAUUACUUUUUCAUUAGAGCAUUGUUUCUAGAACCUGCUUGCUUCAUCAACAAUUUGGAGAAACUAAACUUUCUUCACACAUGUAUCUUCAAACCAACGCCACUUAUCACAUAUCUCAAAUUUUCUAAAUGUCAUUUCUUUUUUGUUCUACAAAACUAACUUCCCCCCAUCAAUCUCCACCAAGCUUUAUGCUCCUUAGUAAAGCCUACUAGAGUUGGAUAAUAUUCAUAUUUAGGAAAUAUCUUACCUGAGAUGGCGAACAAUCUAGUCCAUAAUGAUUCUUUCAUGUGUGAUAAGGCAUUCUUUCCAGGCCCCGAAACUAUCGUCACUUUGAUUGUUGAAAAUGAUAAGGCGGUCUUUCUAAUUUCUCAAGUUUAAAACAGAGGCAUUUUGGUCAAUAUGAUCUUGCAAAAGACAAAACCUCUUCUAAUAUUUCUUCUAUCAGAUCGAAUGACACGAUUGCAUACUUCUUCUGGGAAGCGACUAAUAAUUUGUGCAUAGUGAAUUGAAUAAUCGGUAUGUUGCACUGACAGCUAAACUACUAAACGGGAAGAUUGAUUAUUUAUUGAAACCAAGAUGACUCUGACUAAAUCAACAUAAAUUUACCCACAAUGUUACUAUCAAUUUGGCAGCAAUUUUUAUUUAUGCAAUUUGUAAUUAGGAGUGGAUAAAAGAGUCAAUGCAAUUGAAUGUUUCUCCUCCAUGGGAAAAUUAUCAAAAUCCCCCAUUAUUUGAAUAAUUUGAUCUUUACCGGGUGAAUUUUAGCAUGUGCUGGUAGUUGUAGUUCAUAAACAAUGGUACUUAUUUUACGGAGGAUGGAAUACGGCCCAAAAUACCUGUAAGCCAACUUUUGAUGUGCCUGUUUAACACAGAUGAUUAACGGUAGGGCUGGAGUUUUAAAAACACCAUAUCGCCCUGUUUGAAUUCAAUGCCGCGGCGGCCCGUGUCAGCUAUUUGCUUCAUUCUGUUAGCUGCGGUGGUUAAGUUUUUCUUCAGUUGCAGCAGUAGUUCAUCUCGGGAUAUCAAGGUUUGAUCAACUUCGUGCACCGGUGAGGCACCCAACUCGUACAUUGGCACUGUUGGAGGAGGUCUCCCAUAUAGAGCUUGAAAUGGGAUCAUCCCGGUGGAGAUAUGGAAGGUGGUGUUAUACCAAAACUCAGCCCACGGUAAAUAGGAGUGCCACUUCCGUGGCCACUGAUGAACAAAACAUCUCAAGUAUUGUUCAAGGCAUUGGUUAAUUACCUCUGUUUGGCCGUCGGUUUGAGGAUGAUAUACCGAGCUCAUUUUUAAUUUGGUGCCUGAUAAAUUAAAGAACUCUUGCCAAAAUUUGCUGAUGAAUAUGGGGUCACGAUCGCUGAUGAUUGACUUGGGCAUACCAUGUAGCUUCACUACUCCUUCGAUAAACUUUUCUGCCACUGUCUGGCACAGGAUUGGUAAUGGCUGUAAGAGUCCUGCCGGCUUAAGUGUUUCCGCUUUUGUUUUCUGACACGUCGCACAUUUAUUUACGCACUCCUGGACGGAUUGGAACAUUGAUGGCUAGUAAAAUUGCUGAGAUAAGCAUUUGAAUGUGCGAAGAACCCCAGAGUGACCCCCCAUCUUUGUGUCGUGUGCUUCGAACAUGAGUUUCUCACAAUCCGUUGGGCCAAAACAUGCCCACAAUUCGUCCACAAAUGUCUCCCACAUAACCGGUCGACCUUCCUCUUGAUAAGCUUUACACAUCCACUGCCACCAUUGAUUCGCUUCGCCUUCCAGAUGGUACGCCGCUAAUACUACCUUUUGUUCGUUGGUCGUCUCUUGAUAUUCAAAGUACUGUGAUAUCCGGUUGAGCCAUUCGGUUGGAUCGUUGCCGGCGAAACGAGGAAACUCCAACUUGGCUAGUCUCCUUGGUAGCUGUGAUCGCCCUCCUUCACUUUCUUCUCGAAUUGGCCGCGGUGAACCAAUGUUUU
rnacentral:lncRNA from 1 species